GAUGAACGCUGGCGGUGUGCCUAAUACAUGCAAGUCGAGCGAACAGACGAGGAGCUUACUCCUCUGACGUUAGCGGUGGACGGGUGAGUAACACGUGGAUAACCUACCUAUAAGACUGGGAUAACUUCGGGAAACCGGAGCUAAUACCGGAUAACAUGUUGAACCGCAUGGUUCAACAGUGAAAGACGGUCUUGCUGUCACUUAUAGAUGGAUCCGCGUCGCAUUAGCUAGUUGGUAAGGUAACGGCUUACCAAGGCAACGAUGCGUAGCCGACCUGAGAGGGUGAUCGGCCACACUGGAACUGAGACACGGUCCAGACUCCUACGGGAGGCAGCAGUAGGGAAUCUUCCGCAAUGGGCGAAAGCCUGACGGAGCAACGCCGCGUGAGUGAAGAAGGUCUUCGGAUCGUAAAACUCUGUUAUUAGGGAAGAACAAAUGUGUAAGUAACUAUGCACGUCUUGACGGUACCUAAUCAGAAAGCCACGGCUAACUACGUG
rnacentral:rRNA from 1 species